UACGUAGGGGGCGAGCGUUGCCCGGAUUCACUGGGCGUAAAGCGCGUGUAGGCGGUCUGUUAAGUCGGAUGUGAAAUCUCCGGGCUCAACUCGGAAACUGCAUCCGAUACUGGCAGACUUGAGGAUGGUAGAGGUCGGUGGAAUACCAGGUGUACCGGUGAAAUGGGCAGAUAUCUGGUGGAACACCAGUGGCGAAGGCGGCCGACUGGGCCAAUCCUGACGCUGAGGAGCGAAAGCAUGGGGAGCGAACAGG
rnacentral:rRNA from 1 species